rnacentral:rRNA from 1 species
AAUAGAUACCCUGGUAGUCCACGCCGUAAACGAUGAGUGCUAAGUGUUAGAGGGUUUCCGCCCUUUAGUGCUGAAGUUAACGCAUUAAGCACUUCGCCUGGGGAGUACGGCCGCAAGGCUGAAACUCAAAGGAAUUGACGGGGGCCCGCACAAGCGGUGGAGCAUGUGGUUUAAUUCGAAGCAACGCGAAGAACCUUACCAGGUCUUGACAUCCUCUGACAACCCUAGAGAUAGGGCUUCUCCUUCGGGAGCAGAGUGACAGGUGGUGCAUGGUUGUCGUCAGCUCGUGUCGUGAGAUGUUGGGUUAAGUCCCGCAACGAGCGCAACCCUUGAUCUUAGUUGCCAUCAUUUAGUUGGGCACUCUAAGGUGACUGCCGGUGACAAACCGGAGGAAGGUGGGGAUGACGUCAAAUCAUCAUGCCCCUUAUGACCUGGGCUACACACGUGCUACAAUGGACGGUACAAAGAGCUGCAAGACCGCGAGGUUGAGCUAAUCUCAUAAAAACCCGUUCUCAGUUCGGA